GGAAGGCAGAUUGUUGUUGAGGAGACCUUGGCACUCUUCGACUUGAGCUUAGGACCUGACCAUAAGAAGGCUCGGAAAACACUGGUAUACAUUGUGUACAUGGGUGACCUUCCCAAGGGUAAUGUCUCUGCAUCAUCGAAUCAUAUGAGAAUGCUGAAGGAAGUUGUUGGAAGUAGGGCAUCAGAGUCUUUACUCUAUAGCUACAAGA